ensembl:lncRNA
CAAGGGUUUCCUGCUGGAGCUCACUGCUACCUGAGGCAUUCUAAGGCUGCAGAAAUAAGACCUAGAUGCAUGAGUAAGGAAGUGGAACAGAAGAAAUAAUUUCAGCCCUGUUAGAAAGCAUCAAAACACUGAAAGCAGGAGAACAUUCCAUCAAAAUCUGGGAAAGAGGCAUGCAGAGGGUACCGUUACUUAACAGAAAAGCUCUUGUAGGGUGAAGAACAGCUUACACGCAUCUAUGCAGCUUUUUCUAACAGUAUGCUUGUUAGAGAACUUGCCUGGCUUGUGAUGCCUGAUCUCAUAAACUACGUGGGGCUAUUUGGAAGCUAGCAUUUGAUUCCUUAUCCACUGCUUCUUAGGGCAGUAUGUGUUGUGCUGAGAGAGAAGCCUCAGGGGUCAUGCUGUCUCUACCUCUGAACUUGUCCCACCUGUGUAAGUUGGAAAGAGAAGGAUGGAAAAUACCUUUUUUUUACUAUACAGUCUAUAUAAUUUCUCAGUGACCAGGAGCGUAAAUACUCACAAG